rnacentral:rRNA from 1 species
GUGCCAGCAGCCGCGGUAAUACGGAGGGGUGCAAGCGUUAAUCGGAAAUUACUGGGCGUAAAGCGCGCGUAGGUGGCUUGAUAAGCCGGUUGUGAAAGCCCCGGGCUCAACCUGGGAACGGCAUCCGGAACUGUCAAGCUAGAGUGCAGGAGAGGAAGGUAGAAUUCCCGGUGUAGCGGUGAAAUGCGUAGAGAUCGGGAGGAAUACCAGUGGCGAAGGCGGCCUUCUGGACUGACACUGACACUGAGGUGCGAAAGCGUGGGUAGCAAACAGGAUUAGAUACCCUGGUAGUCC